AGCCCUGAGGUGUCCUUACAUAUUAGAUUGCAAAUCUAAAGAAGUAGACUAGCGUCUACCGGGGCUU
rnacentral:tRNA from 1 species